rnacentral:rRNA from 1 species
CAUGUCCUUUUGAUUAUAAUUUAAGGUCUGACCUGCCCAAUGAGGAUUUAAAUGGCCGCGAUAAUUUGAUCGUGCGAAGGUAGCAUAAUCAUUAGUUUCUUAAUUGGAAGCUGGAAUGAAUGGUUGGACGAGGAAUAUACUGUCUCGGUGUUAUUAUAUUGAACUUUAUUUUUAAGUAAAAAAGCUUAAAUGUAAAUUGAAGACGAGAAGACCCUAUAGAGUUUUAUAUAUAAUUAAUUAUUUAGCUUGAGGAAUUUAUUGUUAUCGAAUUUAUUAUAUAUUUGGUUGGGGUGACAGAAAAAUUGAACAAACUUUUUCUUUAUUAUUAUAUUGAUUGGUAGAUUUUUGAUCCACUAUUAGUGAUUAAAAGAUAAAAUUACCUUAGGGAUAACAGCGUAAUCUUUCUUGAGAGUUCUAAUCGAAAGAAGGGGUUGCGACCUCGAUGUUGGAUUAAAGUUUAUUUUUGGUGUAGAAGCUAAAAUAUUUAGUCUGUUCGACUAUUAAAACUUUACAUGAUCUGAGU